CUUGCCUCUGCCAUGUUAGAAGUGCCUUUCGCCUCCCACCAUGACUCUGAGGCCUACACAGCCACGUCGAACUGCAAGUCCACUUAAACCUCUUUUCGUUCCCAGUUUCAGUGUGGUGGAAAAGGAAGAGAGAGCUGAGGCAGACGAUGUAAGAUCUGCUGUUACUUCUUGCUGUGUGACCUUGGGUGAAGUGAAGUGGGUGUGCCUGGGAUCACACACAGCUGAGACGGGGUUUCACUGUGUUCACCAGGAUGGUCUCGAUCUCCUGACCUUGUGAUCCACCUGCCUCAGCCUCCCAAAGUGCUGGGAUUACAGGCGUGAGCCACUGCGCCCAGCCUGCAACUCUGUUUUUUGCUUUCAGGAAAAUCAGGCCAUGUUUGUGUCCACAAACAAGAGUGAAGAUAAUCUCUCCUAUCUGAGAAAUCCAGGAGUGGAGGAAUCCAAUGGGAACUCUGGCCAAGCUAAAAGAAGGUCUCAAGAGCCACAGAUGUCUUGGAUAUUUCUGUAUUUCAGACUCUACUACCCAGACACCAAAAGAAGAAAUGAUUAACCCUGGAGGCUGCCUUGGUCUAGGUGAAAAAAUAUAUGUACGAUGACAGUGCAAUCAUACUAGAACUCAGGAUUAAGAAACUCACUCAAAACUGCUCAACUACAUGGAAACUGAACAACCUGCUCCUGAAUGACUACUGGGUACAUAACGAAAUGAAGGCAGAAGUAAAGAUGUUCUUUGAAACCAACGAGAACAAAGACACAACAUACCAGAAUCUCUGGGACACAUUCAAAGCAGUGUGUAGAGGGAAAUUUAUAGCACUAAAUGCCCACAAGAGAAAGCAGGAAAGAUCUAAAAUUGACACCCUAACAUCACAAUUAAAAGAACUAGAGAAGCAAGAGGAAACACAUUCAAAAGCUAGCAGAAGGCAAGAAAUAACUAAAAUCAGAGCAGAACUGAAGGAAAUAGAGACACACAAGAACCCUUCAAAAAAUCAAUGAAUCCAGGGGCUGGUUUUUUGAAAAGAUCAAUAAAAUUGAUAGACCGCUAGCAAGAUUAAU
rnacentral:lncRNA from 1 species